CGGCCAACAAAAGUAGGACCUUCGAGUCCUAUCUACGAAAAUCACCAUCAACUUGUUCAGAUACAAAAUACAAAUUGGAUCAACAAAAAUGAUGAUACCAAGGGGCCCAUGUUAUUUGAUGUUUAAAAUGAUGGUGACUGCGAAUAAUUUUCAAUCCAACAAGAGAAAGCCCACAAGGGAUGCCACCUUCUUAUCUUACUUGGCGGAUUCAGGUUCGGCGGUUGCCGAAUCAGCCACCUCGACUUCGGACUGGAAGUUUCCGUCUCUGCCUCCGGCGACAAUUCUGUCAAGUUCAAUUCGCUUCAAUGCCAUGGAGUCUACCCAUUUCUGCACUGGUUUUGUCUCUAAUGGGUUAUCUAAGAGGACCCGCACUUGCAACGCUUUAAAUAAGUCGACAAGUACAUAUUCUUCCUUUCGGAGGGGUGAAGGUUGUGAUUUUGUUGCGGUAAGCGAUGGGAGGCCUUUACUGAACAUUGAAGGCGUGGUGGGAGGUCACCGACUCUCCGCAAACAAUACAUCGUUGUGCUCCCCAUUGAUAACCCAUCGUAGGAGACCCCGUUUUCCAGUGGUUGGCAAUCAAUUGAAUUCUGAUUUUGGUCUGGUUUCUGCUGAUGUUGACGGCUCCUUGGCUUCAGAACAGGGGCAUCUUCUGACAAAUUCUGAUGAAGGGACUGUUCAGUUACCAGCAACUCCGAUCAACCAACCACCUUGCACCGAUGUCAAACGUGAGCUCCUGAUGCUGUCUUUGCCUGCACUUGCUGGUCAGGCAAUUGAUCCUCUGGCACAGUUGAUGGAGACAGCAUAUAUUGGUCGACUGGGCACUAUGGAGUUGGCUUCUGCUGGUGUUUCCAUAUCCAUAUUCAACAUCGUAUCAAAGUUAUUUAAUAUUCCUCUUCUUAGUGUUGCGACUUCUUUUGUGGCUGAGGACUUAGCUAAAAAUGCUGAUCAAGAUUCUCCUUCAGGGAAUGCUGGUGUUGAAAGUAGUGGGAAUGGCAAACCAUUAGCUGUAAUUCCCCAAAGAAAGCAACUACCCUCCGUGUCCACUGCUUUGUUAUUAGCUUUAUGGAUUGGAAUUUUUGAGGCUUUAGCUUUGUUUAUGGGAUCUGGAGCAUUUCUACAUCUAAUGGGUGUGUCAAAAAAAAAUCCUAUACACAUUCCAGCACGGCAGUAUCUCUCAUUAAGAGCACUUGGUGCUCCAGCAGUUGUACUUUCUUUGGCUCUUCAAGGCGUUUUCCGUGGUUUUAAGGACACAAGGACUCCCGUUAUAUGCCUAGGCAUUGGGAAUCUUUCAGCUGUCAUUUUAUUUCCCUUACUUAUUCAUUACUUUAAAUUGGGUGUGACUGGCGCAGCCAUUUCUACUGUUCUCUCCCAAUAUAUCGUGACUUUAUUGAUGAUCUGGUGUCUGAAUAAGCGAGCUGUAUUAUUACCUCCAAAGAUGGGAGUGCUACAAUUUGGUGGUUAUAUCAAGUCUGGUGGCUUCCUUAUUGGAAGAACACUUUCUGUUCUUUUAACCAUCACAUUGGGAACAUCAAUGGCUGCUCGUCAAGGUCCAGUAGCUAUGGCUGCACAUCAGAUAUGCAUGCAAGUGUGGUUGGCUGUUUCCCUUCUUACUGAUGCUUUGGCUACAUCUGUUCAGGCUCUUAUUGCAAGUUCUGUAUCUAGACGUGACUACAAGAUUGUGAAGGAAAUUACUCAUUUUGCAUUACGGAUUGGGCUGCUCGCAGGUUUCUGUUUGAGCGCCAUUUUGGGUGCAUUUUUUAGACCCUUAGCUACCUUUUUUACCAACGACGCUGAAGUCUUGCAUGUCGUUGGGAUGGGGGUGCUGUUUGUCAGUGCUUCUCAACCUUUUAAUGCAUUAGCAUAUAUCUUUGAUGGCCUUCAUUAUGGGGUCUCUGAUUUCCCGUAUGCAGCUUGUUCCAUGAUGUUAGUGGGAGCAGUGUCCUCAGCAGUUUUGUUAUUUGCACCUUCAAUUAUUGGCCUUCAUGGUGUAUGGCUGGGCUUGACUCUCCUUAUGGCUCUUCGUACGGUGGCUGGUUUUGUCAGAUUACUAUCAAAAUCUGGUCCUUGGUGGUUUCUACACGAUUUAUGAAUUGCCAAGGAUCAGGUACAGAGCACAUGAUUGGCAUCAACUGAGUCACUGGGGGUCAUCUUAUUGUGCCGUCCUUUGUCAUUUUUACUUCCACUGAUUAGCUUGAAGUUCUUCACAAUCAUCUUGCUCAUUUUAAUCUCUCCAACCUUUAGAAGAUGUUAUUCCUCAUGAAAGCUUGCUCCAAGUUGUUUGCUAUUGUGUACAAGUAUCUAUGCGAAAAAAAUUAAGGCGUGAGUGGAAAAGUUCCUUAAGAUUUUCUUUUACCUCUGUUGAGUAUUUGAACGUCUGAAGCAGUUGCCUUUUCCUCCUUUCAAGUUCUAAAGGGGAAUGCUGAUGAAGCGCGCGAAUUGACAGUUGAAGAAGGCUGUAUUCUUCAGAUGCUAGAUUUUGAAGCGAAAUCAAGUUGGCCGUUUGACUUCCCGCUGUUAUAUUGAUAUUGUAUAAAUAGAAACACUUUCAACGUUCUAUUUUUUAUUUUUUUUUUGGAUAAACAUUAGGGCUUUUAUGCUAACAUAUAUAGGCUCAUGUGCUGAUAUUAGUUCUGGUAGAAAUCAGAGCUGAAUAUUUGGCUUAGCCAUAUCCAGAUGCAGUAAUUUAGGCCGGCUCAAAUAAACUUAAAAGAUCUUAAAAUUGA